GUAAUUAUAAAAAAAAAGAAAUUUUUCGUUUACUAUGGAAAGAAAAAAAAUUACCAGAAUUAAGUUUAUGUGACAAUUAUGUAAGUAAUAAUAUAUUGAUAGUACAUAUUUUUAAUUUAUUAUUAAUUAUAUUAUUUACUGAACAAGUGUGUAUUUAUACAACAAUAGAAAACAGUAACAAUAAUAGUAAUUCGUAUGGGAUUAAAAAAUUAGUUAAAAAUAAAAUAGAUAUAAAAAGAUUAUGGUUUAAUAAUCUAACGCAACAUAAUAAUUAUAACACCGAACCAAUUACUACUACUACUACUACUANNNNNNNNNNNNNNNNNNNNNNNNNNNNNNNNNNNNNNNNNNNNNNNNNNNNNNNNNNNNNNNNNNNNNNNNNNNNNNNNNNNNNNNNNNNNNNNNNNNNAAAAAAAAAAAAAAAAAAAAAAAAAAAAAAAAAAAAAAAGUUUUAAUAAAAAAAAUAAAACAUUUAUAGUGUUAUACAUACGCUUAUUAACAUUGUGUGUGUGUGUGUUGAUUUGGUUAUCUAUGUUACACAUUGUAUAUUAUAUUUAUGUAUACACUUUUUUUUAAUAGAUUCAAAUGAUAACCACACCGAUGAGUGCAAAGUAUGCAUAAAUAUAUGCCUCUUAUUAUUACCAAUAGUCCAAUGUAAUUAUAAAAAAAAAGAAAUUUUUCGUUUAUUAUGGAAAGAAAAAAAAUCACAAGAAUUAAGUUUAUGUGACAAUUAUGUAAGUAAUAACAUAUUGAUAGUACAUAUUUUUAAUUUAUUAUUAAUUAUAUUGUUUACCGAACAAGUGAGUAUUCAUACAACAAUAGAAAAAAGUAUCAAUAAUAACAAUAAUUCACAUGGAAUUAAAAAAUUAGUUAAAAACAAAAUAGAUGUACACAGAUUAUGGCUUAGUAAUCUAACACAACAUAGUAAUUAUAAAACCGAAUCAAAUAACAAUAAUAGUAAUAAUAGUAAUAAUAAUAAUAAUGAUGAUGAUGAUGAUGAUAUGGAAUCAGUUUCUUACAUUAUAAGUUAUACACCCGAGGGAAUAGUGGAAGAAAAUAAAAUAUAUAGUAUAAAGAAUAAUUUGAAUAAACCAAAAGAAAAUAAUAAUAUAAAUUUAAUCAAUUUAUCAAAAAGUAAUAGCAAUGACGAAUUAAAAAGUACUAAAGAGCACGAACCGGAUGUAUUAUAUGUUAAUAAAGAUGUUGAAAAAAAUAAAAAUAAUUUUAAUAACAAAAGUAGCAACAAACAUAAGAAAACCAAGAACAAGUUUUUUUUAAAUGAUGACAGCAGUGCAGAAGAAUAUAAUAACGGUAGUAAUAGUAGUAGUAGUAGUAGUAGUACUAGUACUAGAAGCAGUAGUAGUAGUAGUAAUAAUAGUAGUAAUAGUAAAAGAAGUAGUAGCACUAGAAGCAGUAGCGGUAGCAGUAUUAGUAGCAAAAAUAGCGACAAUAGCAGUAAUAUUAAAACCAGCUUAAGCAUUUUUGAAAAUAGAAACAAUAUGAAUAAAUACAAUAUUAGUUAUAUUGAUUUAGAAUUAAUUAAAAAUAGAAUUAAAAUAUUAAAAUGUUUGCUAAUAUUAUUAAGUUCAUAUAUGUAUUAUGAUAAUAAUAAUUAUUUAAAAGAAAAAAAUAUUUUUUUGUAUCUUUUUACAAGUGGUAACAUUUAUUUUACUGCAAAUUUUUGUUUAUCUUUAUUAAUGGUGAUAUAUAAUAAUGAAUUUAAUUAUUUUAAUUUUUAUUUUUAUAAUGACACAUAUUUGGAAUUUUAUAAUGUGUGUAUUCACAUUUUAAACAUCUUAAUCGACUUUAGUCCCUUUGUUUUAUACAAUAACAAGCAAGAGCAUUAUAUUAACAGUUCUGUUAGAUAUUUUUAUAAGCGAGCAAACUGCUUAAACAAUAAUGGCAGUGACGUUGAUGACAGUGGUAAACAAAACGGUAAUGAUAGUAAGAAAGAUGAUAAAAAUAGUAAUAACUUCAACAACAAUAAUAAUGGAGAUAACAAAACAGAUUGUCUGAAUACAAAAGAAGACUAUUACUACGAUAAGAAAGUAAAAAAUGACGAGCAACAUUUGAAUAAUAACGAGAAAAAACGUUAUAAAAAUAAUAUGACACAGUCUUCUUCUUUUGAAGAUUUUAUAUGUAAUUCUUCUUUUAAUGAUUCAUUUAUUGAAUCAAGUGGAGGUUCCGAAAGUUUAAAAACUGCAGAAUUGAAAACUAAGAAUAAAAAUAAAAAGAUUAAAAGGAGUGGUAAUAAUUUAAAAAAGGUUUUAGAAAAUAAAAAAAAAUAUAUUUUAUUUUGUCAAAAAAAAAAGAAAAAAAAUAGAAAUAGUAGCAGCGGUAACGAAAGUAACGAAAAAAGCGACAAAAAAAGCGACAAAAAAAGCGACAAAAAAAGUGACAAAAAAAGCGACGAAAAAAGCGACAAAAAAAGCGACGAAAAAAGCGACGAAAAAAACGACGACAAAAACGACGACAAAAACGACAAAAAAAACGACGAAAAAAGCGACAAAAAAAGCGACAAAAAAAGCGACGAAAAAAACGACGACAAAAACGACGACAAAAACGAUGACAAAAACGACGACAAAAACGACGACAAAAACGACGACAACAGCAAUAAAAAUAUUCCAAACUAUUAUGCAUAUUUAAAAAGUAAAAAACAAGUAAAAAGAUUACAAAACAAAAAUGUAUAUUUAGAUAUUAUACGCAACCUAAAAUUAAAUGAUAUAAAAUACAUUUAUAAUGGUACAUUAAAUAUAUUAAUAAGCUAUAAAUUAUAUUAUGAAGAUUAUAAUGAAAAUAUUUUUUUUAUUGAUAAUUAUUUAUGCUUACUAUGGAAUAUUAUGAAUAACAAUAAAUUGUUUGUUAAACACAUGAACAAUAGGACUAGCAGUACAUUUAUAUUUUAUAUUUUAUAUAUAUUAAUAUGUUAUAAUAAUAAUAGGAAAAAAGAAACAAGGCGACUGGCUGAUUUAAGAAAGUUAGAUAACGCGGUAGGGGGUAGUUUUUUUACUACAAAAACUAUGAGUACUAAUUUAUCUAGAAGUGCUAGUAACAUUUCGUGUAAUAAUUUAGUUCAAAGUAGUGGUAAUAACACUAGCAGUAUUGCUACCAUUACGGAACAUAUAAACUGUCCAAAUGAGAAAAGAGAAAAAGAUGAACCGGUUGGACCCAGUACAACACACAAACCAGACAAAUUAGACAAGUCAGACGAACCAAGAGUUGUAGAAGACGAACAAACUGAACGAUUUAUUUAUAACAACGAAAAUUUCAAUGAAUCAAACAAGUGCCAUGAAUUUACCCUUCGUAAAAUAGAUGGGUU
rnacentral:lncRNA from 1 species